rnacentral:lncRNA from 1 species
CGCACGGCCGAACAGCUGACGCGCAAGACGCACACUUCCAUAGAAAUAGACAGCACGGCGCCUAACCUAGAAAACAUGCGAUAAAUUUCCUUUUUUCGAAAAUCCUUACUAAUAAUCCGAAAUUAUGAUUCGUGAAAAAGAAACAUCAAAAUUGACCGACGUAUGGCUCUAGAAUUCCUCCCGUUCUUCCGUGACCCGACAACUUGCCUCGCGAUUUAAAAUUAUUGUUUCCGUCGUCGAACAUGGCAUUUCGAGACGAGAUCUUCCUCGCCGGAGACACUUCCGGAUCCCUGCUCGGCGUCGAGCUAACCUACUGGUUCCUGGCAGCCUUCGUUAUCUUGGUCCUCCUCUUUCUCAUUGUUCUGCUCAUCCUCUGCGUUUGGUGUUUCAGAGAUCUCAGAACCGUAUGCGACGAUGAUGAAGAUGCUGGCUGCAGCUGCGAAUAAGAGCACGAAAACGAUGAUUCCAAAGAGUUCUUCCUUCACAUUGCAUUGCCAUAGACUAGAUGGCCCUACCGCGUCUAUGGGACUCGCCCUUAGGUAUCGAUGGAAAGAUCGAUCCUCGUAUUCCCAGAUGGAAGUUGUUUCCUAACAGCGUAUCUCAUAAACCACUUUAUGAAACUCCAUCGUUGUAAUUGUCGUGUUUUUCGUGUCCAUUGUUGUAGAUAUUAAAUUUAUGUAUAAAAAUCAUGAUCCUAGGUAUUUUACAAGGGUCUUGUAACGUCAAUCAUCGCCCUUCGGGCGCAAAAUGUGUCCCUGUCCAGAAACAACUUAUCUGAGUACUAUUUUCUGUUGUUUCAAAUGUUCUGCUUUAUUGGCAUUCACGGGUAAUAUUUACACGCACCUCAGAUUUUCACAGAUCAAACUAUUCCUAAUUAGAAAUAUUUUAUUUUUCAUUGUCUGCAGGUAUCUUCUUAGUUUUUAAGAUAGUUGAGCAAUGUUUCCAUAAUGAGUUAUCUGAAAAUAAAUAUGAAAAAUAAAUUAUUUUUAUUAUCUUUUACCGCACUAGAUAAGGGUAAUUUGCCUUGUUAUUUUAUCUUAAUUCGAGAUAGGUAUUUUCAAUUUAAAAUAGACCGUCAAUAAUCAUUCAAAACAGUGAAAACCCUUAUUUGCGGCCGAACAUGAUUGUGAAUCUUCAGUUUUCGAUUCUAUUGCUCUUUAGAACAGAGGGUUUGAAUUUCAAGUCAUAAUUUGAACUAUCGAUGAUUUUAUAAGCGUUUUAAAUGAACCUGUCACUGGUAACAAUGACGUUAAUCUCCAUAUGCGUUAAUCUAAAUUCGCGUUUUUAAAAAAGCGAGCCCUACUGACACGCUUUUCCAAAAAAAAAAAAAAAAAAAAAAAAAAAAAAAAACCUCCAAGUGUUCUUGUCGAUAUUGAAAGUAGAAGCUUGGCAAGUGACCAAGUUUUCUGUAAAUCAAUGGUGAAAGAACGAAACCUUGUAUCUCCGUUUGUCACGCUG